AGUGAGCGCUGGCGGUAGGCCUAACACAUGCAAGUCGAACGGCAGCACAGUAAGAGCUUGCUCUUACGGGUGGCGAGUGGCGGACGGGUGAGGAAUACAUCGGAAUCUACUUUUUCGUGGGGGAUAACGUAGGGAAACUUACGCUAAUACCGCAUACGACCUACGGGUGAAAGUAGGGGAUCUUCGGACCUUGCGCGAUUGAAUGAGCCGAUGUCGGAUUAGCUAGUUGGCGGGGUAAAGGCCCACCAAGGCGACGAUCCGUAGCUGGUCUGAGAGGAUGAUCAGCCACACUGGAACUGAGACACGGUCCAGACUCCUACGGGAGGCAGCAGUGGGGAAUAUUGGACAAUGGGCGCAAGCCUGAUCCAGCCAUACCGCGUGGGUGAAGAAGGCCUUCGGGUUGUAAAGCCCUUUUGUUGGGAAAGAAAAGCAGCAGGUUAAUACCCCGCUGUUCUGACGGUACCCAAAGAAUAAGCACCGGCUAACUUCGUG
rnacentral:rRNA from 1 species